rnacentral:rRNA from 1 species
GUGCACUUGUCUCAGUGGGUCUGGAAUUCGUAUGGAAGAGGGAAGAUUCUGGACGCGGCUGACACACGGCUGCGAGGAGAAUUCGACGCCCAAGAGAUGGAGUGUGUGAUGAUUGUCGUGCUAUGGUGUGCUCGGCUUGAUCUGAAACUGAGACCAUCUAUCAGGCAGGCUGUCAACGUGCUGCGGUUUGAGGCGCCGUUGCCGAGCCUCCCCGCAAGGAUGCCGGCUGCAAGUUACAUGCCACCGGUCGUUGGUACUACAGAGAGUUGCCACUGA